rnacentral:lncRNA from 1 species
CCAGGAGUAGGAGCCCUCUAUAUCCCUGCUCCUGAAAAACAAGCUAACUGGAGUCUCCAUCACCUGCACCCAGCAUAGACACACUACCAACUACCCAACUGAACUCCAUGACUGAUUUGCCAGCCAAUCAUGCCCCUGACCCAGCCUACAUGGACAUGGGAAGGACAUCAGUGAAUCGGGAACAGAGGCAGAGACUCACUCCCAUUUGUAUUAUUAAAGCACAUGCAAAUAGGAUAUAAAAAGAAGGAAGAGUACUGGGCCUCAAAAUGAGUUCAAAUCUCAUUUCUGCCAAUUCCUAUGUCUAAAAAAAAAGCAUCCUAAUCUCUUUGAGCCUCACAUUCUCUGAGAAUCACUUGACCAGAAUGUUCAAUACAGGUAAAAAUACUAGAAAGUAUUUUAAUUAAUUCUAAGAUUCCUUAAAAUUCUGUAAUUCUAUGUCCUCUUGAUUCUGUCUAUAGGAAAACUGGGAAUACAUACCCAGCAGAAUUU